GUGCCAGCCGCCGCGGUAAUACCGGCAGCCCGAGUGAUGGCCGAUCUUAUUGGGCCUAAAGCGUCCGUAGCUGGCUGCGCAAGUCCGUCGGGAAAUCCACUCGCCCAACGAGUGGGCGUCCGACGGAAACUGCACAGCUUGGGACCGGAAGGCUCGAAGGGUACGUUCGGGGUAGGAGUGAAAUCCCAUAAUCCCGCACGGACCACCGAUGGCGAAAGCACCUUGGAAGGACGGAUCCGACAGUGAGGGACGAAAGCUAGGGUCUCGAACCGGAUUAGAAACCCGGGUAGUCC
rnacentral:rRNA from 1 species